AGUAGACUUGAAUAUGCCUCUGGGCAAAGAAGCAGAGCUAACGAGGAAAGGGAUUUAAAGAGUUUUUCUUGGGUGUUUGUCAAACUUUUAUUCCCUGUCUGUGUGCAGAGGGGAUUCAACUUCAAUUUUUCUGCAGUGGCUCUGGGUCCAGCCCCUUACUUAAAAUCUGGAAAGCAUGAAGACUGGGCUUUUUUUCCUAUGUCUCUUGGGAACUGCAGCUGCAAUCCCACAAAUGCAAGAUUAUUAUCUGAUCAUUCCAAACCAACUGCUGAAACGGUAGCACCUGACAACACUGCAAUCCCCAGUUUAAGGGCUGAAGCUGAAGAAAAUGAAAAAGAAACAGCAGUA
rnacentral:lncRNA from 1 species